AGCGAACGCUGGCGGCAGGCUUAACACAUGCAAGUCGAACGAACCCUUCGGGUUAGUGGCGGACGGGUGAGUAACACGUGGGAACGUGCCUUUUGGUUCGGAACAACACAGGGAAACUUGUGCUAAUACCGGAUGUGCCCUUCGGGGAAGGAUUAUCGCCAUUAGAGCGGCCCGCGUCUGAUUAGCUUGUUGGUGAGGUAAAGGACUCACCAAGGCUACGAUCAGUAGCUGGUCUGAGAGGANGAUCAGCCACACUGGGAC
rnacentral:rRNA from 1 species